UGAGUCAUCGAAUCUUUGAACGCACCUUGCGCUCCUUGGUAUUCCGAGGAGCAUGCCUGUUUGAGUGUCAUUAAUAUAUAUAUCAACCUUCUCUUUGUUGAGUGGUUUGGAUGUGGGGGUUUGCUGUGGCCUCUUAGGAGGGUUCAGCUCCCCUGAAAUGCAUUAGCAGAACAAACCUUGUUCAUUGGUGUGAUAACUAUCUACGCUAUUGAAUGUGAGGGGCAGUUCAGCUUUCUAACGGUCCUUUGGGACAGAUUCAUCAUUAAUGUGACCUCAAAUCAGGUAGGACUACCCGCUGAACUUAAGCAUAUCAAUAAGCGGAGG
rnacentral:rRNA from 1 species